rnacentral:rRNA from 1 species
GAUGAACGCUGGCGGCGUGCUUAACACAUGCAAGUCGAACGAUGAAGCCCAGCUUGCUGGGUGGAUUAGUGGCGAACGGGUGAGUAACACGUGAGUAACCUGCCCUUGACUCUGGGAUAAGCCUGGGAAACUGGGUCUAAUACUGGAUAUGACUUCUCAUCGCAUGGUGGGGGGUGGAAAGAUUUAUUGGUCUUGGAUGGACUCGCGGCCUAUCAGCUUGUUGGUGAGGUAAUGGCUCACCAAGGCGACGACGGGUAGCCGGCCUGAGAGGGUGACCGGCCACACUGGGACUGAGACACGGCCCAGACUCCUACGGGAGGCAGCAGUGGGGAAUAUUGCACAAUGGGCGCAAGCCUGAUGCAGCGACGCAGCGUGAGGGAUGACGGCCUUCGGGUUGUAAACCUCUUUCAGUAGGGAAGAAGCGAGAGUGACGGUACCUGCAGAAGAAGCGCCGGCUAACUACGUG